rnacentral:rRNA from 1 species
GAUGAACGCUGGCGGCGUGCCUAAUACAUGCAAGUCGAGCGAAUGGAUUAAGAGCUUGCUCUUAUGAAGUUAGCGGCGGACGGGUGAGUAACACGUGGGUAACCUGCCCAUAAGACUGGGAUAACUCCGGGAAACCGGGGCUAAUACCGGAUAACAUUUUGAACCGCAUGGUUCGAAAUUGAAAGGCGGCUUCGGCUGUCACUUAUGGAUGGACCCGCGUCGCAUUAGCUAGUUGGUGGGGUAACGGCUCACCAAGGGAACGAUGCGUAGCCGACCUGAGAGGGUGAUCGGCCACACGGGGACUGAGACACGGCCGAGACUCCUACGGGAGGGAGCAGUAGGGAAUCUUCCGCAAUGGACGAAAGUCUGACGGAGCAACGCCGCGUGAGUGAUGAAGGCUUUCGGGUCGUAAAACUCUGUUGUUAGGGAAGAACAAGUGCUAGUUGAAUAAGCUGGCACCUUGACGGUACCUAACCAGAAAGCCACGGCUAACUACGUGCCAGCCGCCGCCGUAA